UAAUACCCGAUAACCUCCUUUCUUGUAACGGAGAGAGGAGCAAAGGUGAGAUUCCACCGGAGGAGCGGCUGACUUAGUAUUAGCUAGUUGGUGAGGUAAAAGCUUACCAAGGCAUCGAUGCUUAGGGGGUGUGAGAGCAUGGCCCCCACCACUGGGACUGAGAUACUGCCCAGACACCUACGGGUGGCUGCAGUCGAGGAUCUUCGGCAAUGGGCGCAAGCCUGACCGAGCGACGCCGCGUGUGGGAUGAAGGCCCUUGGGUUGUAAACCACUGUCAGGGGGGACGAAAUGCGCGCGGGUACUCCCGUGCGUUUGACAGAGCCCCAGAGGAAGCACGGGCUAAGUUCGUGCCAGCAGCCG
rnacentral:rRNA from 1 species